rnacentral:tRNA from 1 species
AAGCUAAUAGCUUAGUUGGUUAAAGCGUUACAUUGAUAAUGUAAAGAUCGUUGGUUCAAGUCCAAUUUAGCUUA